rnacentral:lncRNA from 14 species
UUCUAGAUGGAUUUUUGCCAUUUGAGGGCCAAACAGUGUAAUGCUGGAGUUCAGCCUGGGCAUUUGUGUCCUGGAGUACAUGAGAAUGACAGUUACUAAAGAGGUUUCUAGCAGCUUUCUGCCAGUUCAGUGGAAAAAUGAAGUGCAUUAUAUUUGUUCAUCUGGCCUAUUGCAUUUCAUCCAACCUGGUAUCAUAUGUAGCUUAAACAUCAAAAUGUCAUGGGGAACUGUGAGUAAUCUGAGGCACUCAAGGUCUGACUAAGGCAACUUUUCAAGACUGUACUGAGAGAUAAAAUACUUUUAAAAGACUGUUGGAAGUCCUGGUCCAUGCCUCAUUUGUGGCAUGCCUCAAUUGUGGUGGUGUUAUGAAUGGUGCAAUCAGAAACUUCAGAAACUAAUGUAAAGCAAGUGCUUCUCUUUUUGUCUGUGUGGCUGCAUUUCAUUAAAAAGUUAUCAACAUCAUCUGUAACUUCAGCAGCACCCCAGUCUCCACCUUUCGGUCCUAUACUUCUUCCUAAUGUAUUUCUCCAAAGUGGCAUUCUUCCAAACUAGUAAGCUUGGGUAGAUGUACAUCUACUUGUGGACCUCUGGUGACCAGUCUUCACCUAGAUGUAACUGUAGAUCUACGUGAAGAUAAUACCAUUAAUAGCCACAGAUCCGUAGUUGCUCAGUGCAGCUCAGUUUGCCCAAAAGCAUCAUGUGCUUGUCUGAAAGGAAUUCACUGUGGCUAUCAAUGAAAUUCACUCAACAAGUUCAUAACAAACUUUGACUAUUAUUAGUACAGUACAAGUGAAUGUAUUAACAGUGCAGUUGUUUGAAAACAGCACUAUUGCUUAUGAGAUAACAGCUUCAAUUUUCCUUACACAAUUUUCACACAUGGCUAUUCAUUUAAAGUGAAAGAGAAAUGAAUAGAGGCUCGAUUUGUAAUCUGGAUAUUUUACUACGUCUGUUAUACAUAUAGUAAUUUAUUCUAACUUCUUCACUGUGUGUGUUUCUUCUCUCACUCUGUCUCCAUUAAUAUCCUUCAGAAAUGAUUGGUUUAUGUUUUUUUUACUAUAACUUCAAAAGAGAAAUGAGAUUUUCUCAGCAUGCUAAAAUCUUGGGUGGUAUACAGUGUUGUCACUAGUCAUAUAAUUUAAAAUUAACACCAUUGGCAAAUGCUGCUUUCAAACUUCUAUUGAAAGAUCCUAAUAUAUAAGUGCAGAAGGGCUUUUUUUGCUGAUCUGGAUUUAUAUUUGUAUAAUAUACAGUCAAUAACUUGAGAGAUCUUGUUAUAGAUUGAUUACUCUUUUUCAGUAUAUCCCUUGUUUUUGUAUCCUGUUAUUCACUCGAAGAGCUUAAUUAAAUGAAUCAGAGUAUAAGCACACAUUUGCUGCAACAAUCGCAAUUCCCCAGAGAUAAUUUUCUUUGGCUUGUCUUGCUGGGAUUUCCAGGAAAGUUCCCAGAAGCAGUUUCACAGAAUAGAGGGAUUUCUCCUUUUAAAACCUUUCUUUUUGGUGUUACACAAAUUUGAAUCCAGAGGAGUUUAAUUUUUGAGAAAUAACCAUGAAUACUACAUGCAUGUGUGCCUCUAUAAUAACAAAAUCUUCAGAAUAAAUUGAAUUUAUGUUGAAUCUUAUUUGAUUUC